rnacentral:rRNA from 1 species
GACGAAGGAUGCAAGCGUUAUCCGGAUUCAUUGGGUUUAAAGGGAGCGUAGGUGGUCUUAUAAGUCAGUGGUGAAAUCUCUGGGCUUAACCCAGAAAUUGCCAUUGAUACUGUAGGACUUGAGUACAGUUGCUGUGGGCGGAAUAUGACAUGUAGUGGUGAGAUACAUAGAGAUGUCAUAGAACACCGAUUGCGAAGGC